rnacentral:lncRNA from 1 species
UUCAGUAAACUCAUUCCCUCCAUCUUUCUCUCUCCACAUUUCACAAUUUCUUCUCAAAACCUUCACUUUCUUACUUCAAUCUCUUCUUCUUGGUUUUUAAGAAAACCCCUUUUAUCAAGUUUCCUUCUUUACACCAAAACACAAGUCUUUUUCCAUUCUACUUCACUCUCAUCACAAUUCCCCUGUUCAAUUUCAGAGGAUUUUUGCUUAAAUUUUGUUUCUAAUUGUAACUCAAAGUUCUUGAAAGAGGGUAUUUGUGUUCAUAGUUUUAUUAUAAAGU